rnacentral:rRNA from 1 species
AGAACGAACGCUGGCGGCAUGCCUAACACAUGCAAGUCGAACGAGACCUUCGGGUCUAGUGGCGCACGGGUGCGUAACGCGUGGGAAUCUGCCCUUGGGUUCGGGAUAACAGUUGGAAACGACUGCUAAUACCGGAUAAUGACUUCGGUCCAAAGAUUUAUUGCCCAGGGAUGAGCCCGCGUAGGAUUAGCUAGUUGGUGAGGUAAAGGCUCACCAAGGCGACGAUCCUUAGCUGGUCUGAGAGGAUGAUCAGCCACACUGGGACUGAGACACGGCCCAGACUCCUACGGGAGGCAGCAGUGGGGAAUAUUGGACAAUGGGCGAAAGCCUGAUCCAGCAAUGCCGCGUGAGUGAUGAAGCCUUAGGUGAAGCUCGUUUACCGGGAUGAUAUGACAGUACCGGAGAAUAGCCCGAUAACUCGUGCCAGCAGCCGC